rnacentral:rRNA from 1 species
GAUGAACGCUGGCGGCGUGCCUAAUACAUGCAAGUCGAGCGAACAGACGAGGAGCUUGCUCCUCUGACGUUAGCGGCGGACGGGUGAGUAACACGUGGAUAACCUACCUAUAAGACUGGGAUAACUUCGGGAAACCGGAGCUAAUACCGGAUAAUAUAUUGAACCGCAUGGUUCAAUAGUGAAAGACGGUUUUGCUGUCACUUAUAGAUGGAUCCGCGCCGCAUUAGCUAGUUGGUAAGGUAACGGCUUACCAAGGCAACGAUGCGUAGCCGACCUGAGAGGGUGAUCGGCCACACUGAAAGUGAGACGGGGUACAGACUCCUGCGAGGGGCAGGAGUAGGGAAUCCUCCGAAAGGGGCGAACGCGACACAGAGCAACGCCGCGUGAGUGAUGAAGGUCUUGGGAGCGAAAAACUCUGUUAUGGGGGAAAAAAAAGUGUGUAAGUAACUAUGCGCGUCGACGGGGUACCUAAUCAGAAAGCCGGCGAUAACUACG